ensembl:snRNA
ACCAUCCUUUUCUUGGGGUUGUGCUACUGUCCAAUGAGCACACAGUGAGGGCAGAACUGCUAACACCUACCAAAAAGAUAAAUAAGGCCUGGUGCAGUGGCUCAUGCCUGUAAUGCCAGCACUUUGUUUGGGAGG